UUUUCCCUAUUCUAAUGUUUUGUGUCUUUUUGUGUUUUUGGAAACCCCCUGGAAAGAAGAUGUUGGUGUUCUAGUUCUACAUUGUGGCGGAGACGUGAUUAUGUGGAUAGCUGCAUGUGUAUUAUUGGUUGGAAACUGGCAUGAUGGAGCAAUUAGACCAUGGAGGAGUGAUGAAGCGGAAGUGGAUAAGACUAUCAGUUCUUCGAGAGUCCCAGUGCCUAUAUACUCGCAAGAAGGAUAUGGUAUGGAAUAGCUUAGUACAUCUAUGUGCUGGCAGAUUUGUACAACAAUAAGUUGUUCCAGUGUGAAGAAAGAUGCGUGUCAUAAGACCAUGGAGGAGUGAUGAAGCGGAAGUGGAUAAGACUAUCAGUUCUUCGAGAGUCCCAGUGCCUAUAUACUCGCAAGAAGGAUAUGGUAUGGAAUAGCUUAGUACAUCUAUGUGCUGGCAGAUUUGUACAACAAUAAGUUGUUCCAGUGUGAAGAAAGAUGCGUGUCAUAAGAAAAUGGAUUGUUGUGUAACAGUGGUGAAGUGUUUGUUGAUCGAGACUAUCAAUUCUUCGAGAGUCCCAGUGCCUAUAUACUCACGAGAAGGAUAUGGUAUGGAAUAGCUUGGUACAUUUCCGUGCUGGUAUAUUUGUACAUUUGGAAGUUGUUUCAGUGUGGAGAGAGAUGGACACGGUCAGUAUGCAAUUUGAUAGGAAUGAUCUAUUUUACCUAGUCUAUAACUAGAUAGACUAGAAUAUCUGUGGUUCUACCCUUUUACCGUUUUACCUGCCCUUGUCUGUCCAUUGUGGGGCAUAUUUUUUCUGCCAAUAAAGGUGGAGAGUCGUCAAAUGACUUAGGAAACAACAAAACAAAUGUGAUUUGUUUAGUUAAAAAGACUUUGUUCAACAUAUGGUAUAGUUUAGAAAUGAGAUUGGAAUGUUGUUUUGUUAACCCCAGUGAACUUUCAGUUAAUCUUAAGACCAAGGAGGCAAAUUUGUAAGAAUGACAUGAAACAUGGUGAUGAUGGAUGGAUGUGUGGAUGGUCAAAGCCACUCAGUGACAGAGUAUUGAAGUACUUGACGUGCAUUGUGAAAGUUGAUCGAGACUAUCAAUUCUUCGAGAGUCCCAGUGCUUAUAUACUCGCAAGAAGGAUAUGGUAUGGAAUAGCUUGGUACACCUCUUUGCUGGUAGAUUUGUACGUUUGGAAGUUGUUUCAGUGUGGAUAGAGAUGGACACGGUGCAUUGUGCGGUAAACCUUGCUCUUUGAUUUCAUUGGUAAAUCUGUAUAAAUAUAAUGAAUUUAUGAUAAUAAUUCAGAAAUUAGUAUGCCCUUGUCUGUCCAUUUUGGGGCAUAUUUUCUCUGCCAAUAAAGGUGGAGAGUCGCCAUAUGACUUGAGAACCAACAAAACAAAUAUAGCUUGGUACAUCUCUGUGCUGGUAGAUUUGUACAUUUGAAAGUUAUUUCAGUGUGGAGAGAGAUGGACACAGUCAGUAUGCAAUUUGAUAGGAAUGAUCUACUUUAGCUAGUAGACUAGAAUAUCUGUGGUUCUACCCUUUUACCUUUUUACCUGCCCUUGUCUGUCCGUUUUGAGGCAUAUUUUUUCUGCCAAUAAAGGUGGAGAGUCGUCAAAUGACUUAAGAACCAAUAAACCAAAUGUGAUUUGUUUAGUUAAAAAGACUUUGUUCAACAUAUGGUAUAUGUUGAGAAAUGAGAUUGGAAUGUUGUUUUGUUAACACCAGUGAACUUUCAGUUAAUCUUAAGACCAAGGAGGCAAAUUUGCAAGAAUGACAUGAAACAUGGUGAUGAUGGAUGGAUGUGUGGAUGGUCAAAGCCACUCAGUGACAGAGUAUUGGAGUACUUGACAUGCAUUGUGAAAGUUGAUCGAGACUAUCAAUUCUUCGAGAGUCCCAGUGCCUAUAUACUCGCAAGAAGGAUAUGGUAUGGAAUAGCUUGGUACACCUCUUUGCUGGUAGAUUUGUACAUUUGGAAGUUGUUUCAGUGUGGAGAGAGAUGGACACGGUGUAUUGUACGGUAAACCUUGCUCUUUGAUUUCAUUGGUAAAUCCCUAUAAAUAUAAUGAAUUUAUGAUAAUAAUUUAGAAAUUAGUAUGCCCUUGUCUGUCCAUUUUGGGGCAUAUUUUCUCUGCCAAUAAAGGUGGAGAGUCGCCAUAUGACUUGAGAACCAACAAAACAAAUAUAGCUUGGUACAUCUCUGUGCUGGUAGAUUUGUACAUCAGUAUGGAGAGAGAUGGACACAGUCAGUAUGCAAUUUGAUAGGAAUGAUCUAUUUUAGCUAGUCUAUUACUAGAUAGACUAGAAUAUCUGUGGUUCUACCCUUUAACCUGCCCUUGUCUGUCCAUUUUGGGGCAUAUUUUUCUGCCAAUAAAGAUGGAGAGUCGUCAAAUGACUUAAGAACCAACAAAGCAAAUGUGAUUUGUUUAGUUAAAAAGACUUUGUUCAACAUAUGGUAUAUGUUGAGAAAUGAGAUUGGAAUGUUGUUUUGUUAACCCCAGGUAAAUCUCUAUAAAUAUAAUGAAUUUAUGAUAAUAAAUCAGAAAUAAUGCCCUUGUCUGACAAUCGGCUCUCGACUUUCACUUUUUCAUUCUGGACUGUUUUUUUUCCACACAUAUUCAUCAAUAUACAACACAAACAUAUCCCCUGGACAGCCCUGACAAUCAGCCUGACUUCCACUUUUUCAUUCUGGACUGUUUAUUCACUCAUAUACACAAACAUAUCCCCUGGACAGCCCUGACAAUCAGCUCGACUUCCAUUUUUUCAUUCUGGACUGUUUUUUCCACUCAUAUUCAUCAAAACACAACACAAACAUAUCCCCUGGACAGCCCUGACAAUCAGCCUGACUUCCACUUUUUCAUUCUGGACUGUUUAUUCACUCACAUUCAUUAAUAUACAACACAAACAUAUCUCCUGGACAGCCCUGACAAUCAGCUUGACUUCCACUUUUUCAUUCUGGACUGUUUAUUCACUCACAUUCAUUAAUAUACAACACAAACAUAUCUCCUGGACAGCCCUGACAAUCAGCCUGACUUCCACUUUUUCAUUCUGGACUGUUUAUUCACUCAUAUUCAUCAAAACACAACACAAACAUAUCCCCUGGACAGCCCUGCCAAUCAGCUUGACUUCCACUUUUUCAUUCUGGACUGUUUAUUCACUCACAUUUAUUAAUAUACAACACAAACAUAUCCCCUGGACAGCCCUGACAAUCAGCCUGACUUCCACUUUUUCAUUCUGGACUGUUUAUUCACUCACAUUCAUUAAUAUACAACACAAACAUAUCCCCUGGACAGCCCUGA